GUUGACGUAGCGUUUUUAAAUUUAAAAAUUAUGUUUUAAGAGAUUGAUAAUUUAAGGUAAAUAGGUUUUGGCUUGUUGAAAUGUCAAUCUGUGUAAUUUGAAUCAUUGGGAUUGUGGGUAGAUAGAGAACAAAAUUAAGUUUUUUUCUUGACAUGUGUUAAAUUAAUAAAUAGAAAAUAUAAUUUUCAAUCUGAUAAGUGCCAUGUUAGCCAAAAAAGAAAAGAAAAAAACCUAGAAACUAACUGUUGAAUGUUACUGGGAUUUUAUGUUACUUAAAUUA
rnacentral:misc_RNA from 1 species